rnacentral:rRNA from 1 species
AUUGAACGCUGGCGGCAGGCCUAACACAUGCAAGUCGAACGAGUGGCGGACGGGUGAGUAAUGUCUGGGAAACUGCCUGAUGGAGGGGGAUAACUACUGGAAACGGUAGCUAAUACCGCAUACCAUCGGAUGUGCCCAGAUGGGAUUAGCUAGUAGGUGGGGUAAAGGCUCACCUAGGCGACGAUCCGUAGCUGGUAUGAGAGGAUGACCAGCGACACUGGAACUGAGACACGGUCGAGACACCUACGGGAGGCAGCAGUGGGGAAUAUUGCACAAUGGGCGCAAGCCUGAUGAAGCCAUGCCGCGUGUGUGAAGAAGGCCUUCGGGUUGUAAAGGACUUUCAGCGGGGAGGCGUUACCCGCAGAAGAAGCACGGGCUAACGCCGUGCCAGCAGCCGCGGUAAUUC